GUUUCCAUUUACUUGCAGACAUUGGGCCUCCUGAGGAGCUAUACACAUGUCAGAAACUACAGCAGUCAACUUUCAGGUCUUAUUCCAGUUGGUCCCCAAAGCUCAAAGCUGACAAGAAGGAACAAUUACCUCAUCA